rnacentral:lncRNA from 1 species
UGUGUUUAUCGAACCUUGUCACACGAGAUGGCAUUGGACUUCCGUGGGAAACUUCAUCUCGGCUUAAAGAGAGAUGCGAACCAGCACGAAGAUUGCCUACAUUUACACAUGAAGUUUGUCCAGUCCUAGGAAAAUGAAACGCGGUAUACUGCAUUAGAAAAAUAGAAAAAUGUGCGAGAAUAUAGGAAAGACGUGUAUACGGCAGCGUAAAAGGUGAGUGCAAAUGUAAACUUUAUACCUGGACUGAGUUCAGCACUCAUAGCAUUGCGAACUGCUUUUGCGGCCUCAGUACAUUGU